AUGGGAUAUCUUUAGUAAUUGCGAAUGAACAAGGAUAUGCUUAGCUUGACAAAUGGAGCUAUUGGCUUUGAAUUGUAUUGUGGAAAUGUAUUACCAACAGAGGUGCAGGUGCCAGCCUAUUGAAAUAAAGCGUCAAUGAGGGUGAGAAUCCUGUUUGUCAUGUGCAGCCCUUUGUGCACGGUGUAUAUUUGCUGAGUCACACUCCUUGGCAUUGGAAUGCAAAGUGGGUGGUAAGUUUCAUGUAAAGGUAAACAUGCAAUUGAGACUGAUAGCACACAAGUACCAUGAGGGAAAUAUGAAAAGGACUUUGAAAAGAAUUAGACUUUGUAUUUGCUGAACACAAAGUAAACAGACUUGAUUUGCUUGGUGGGAGUGUUGCACUUGCUUGACAAGAGCUUUGGGCUGUGGGUGUAAUGAUUCUUUCUUUGCAUGCCAGUUUCUAUUUGUACAUCUGAUUACCUUUGCACAUGAAUGAUAAGUCUCCUGUGGGGGGUGGAUUGCAUGUGCAUGUAAUGAUUUGUGUUUUGAUAAAUGUGUCUGGUGUAUGUGUGUGUUCCUGUGCUUGGGGAUGCUUCCUUCCUUGGACUUACAAGCCCUGACACACACAUGCUGGCAAAAUGCUUCUGCUUGACCCGUCUUGAAACACGGACCAAGGAGUCUAACAGAUGUGCAAGUUUGAAGUGGUAUACCUUUGUGUGCAAUGAAAGUGUCAGCUGGGAUAUGUGCCCAGCACCCAAUUAAUUAGUGACAGAGGUUUGAGUUGGAGCAUAUCUAUUAUGACCCGAAAGAUGAUAUGCCUGACAGAAUGUUCAGACUCUGAGGUUCGAUCGAUACUGACGUGCAACGCGCAUAGCGAAAGACUAAUCGAACCAUCUGUAGCUGUCCCUCCGAUUUCCCUCGAUAGGGAGCCAGAUAGAUG
rnacentral:rRNA from 1 species